AUGUCGCUUGACUAUUUAGCGGGUUUAUCUUAGCUAGCUCUUCAAAACCAACUAGGAGAUACUAAUUACAUUUUAAUUUUGGGCUACACUUAAGUUCUUCCUAAAGUGUGGUCUUGAUGUUGCUCCGCAGAACUAGAAAUGUGGUUUGCAAAUGGGCUUCAUGACUUAUUAUUCUUGAUCGCAGACCGGAAUGCGGUCUGCAGAAAAGCAAUGGGACCACAAAAGAUCAUCGCAUUUUGGUCUUAAAAGUCCUUUAUAUUCUGUCUCUUUUUGUGGCUGACAAACCCAUUCUGCGGUGCGCAGUCAGGUUUUGAGGCGGUCCACGGAAGGGUUCAAUUUUUUGACCUGUUUGUUCACUUUUGCCCUCUUUUGGUGUCCCACCUCAAAAUAUCUACAAAAUGUAAAAUAACAUAACAAUCUUAUACUAAAAAAGCAUUAAGAACAUGAAAAGUCUAUGUAAAUGACAUAGAAUGUGCCGUAAUUUCACGGCACAUCAAGGAGUUAGCAGGAAUAUAGCCUCUGUUGUAGAUCUAUCAGGCAUAAAUCCGAACUGGUUUCUGUUACUCUAUGUUCUAUCAGUCUUUCCCCGAGUUUCAUCGUAUAGUAAUGAGUUUAAUGUCAUUAUUGUUCGCACAACUUUGAUUAUCUCUUUGUUCUAUAUGUCAUUGUAUCUACCAAUUUUGAUCUUACUUUAUCUUGAAUAAGAAGGAAGAAUCUAGCUACAAUUUCUCAUCUUAAAGUUUCUCUUUACAGGUUUUACGAGGGAGUCAUUUCUUCUUUUGAUUCUGAGACAAACAAACACAAGGUGACGAGAUUAUUUAUUUUUAUGAAAUCUUGUCAUUGUUUCUCUAUCUUAGAUUUUUUCUUUAAGUUACUUGUAUGUUCAUUCUUAUUUUAUACAACAAUUCAACAUCCUUGACCUGUGUAAACCCUUGUAUCAUUUGUUUUCAAAAAAGUUCUCCUACCACUGCUAAUAUACCUGUAAGUAAAACUAACUCCAUGUUAAGUCAAAUGGGGUCGGAUAAACUAGGGAAUAGACAAAUCUAUUUAACUCUUCAAAAUCAAGAGCUGCCACGUAAAUUCCUUUUUACAUACAGGUACAACCUUACAGUGUAGAGACAUCUUUGUUGUAGACCCUAUUCUUAUAUAUACUGAUCGUGAAGUAGCAUUAUCUAACUUGAACCUUAUUUUAUUGGCUUUAACAUUUUGCAAAAAAUCCUCCUGAAAGUUCCAAAUGACCAGUGUUGAUUGGUGUUUCCUUUUUUAGGUCAUAUAUGAUGAUGGUGAAGUAGAGAAAUUGAGACUACAUAAAGAACGAUGGGAAUUGCUUGAAGACAAUUCAUCUCAAAAGGUUCUCUACCCAUCUGAUAUAGUGUUGUUUCUGACAGAUUUCAUAUUAGAAAGUGGUUCUAAGUGUUUUCAUGUCUGAAGCACUCGUCGUUCUAAUUUUUUGUUUCAGGAUUCUGAAAGGACUUGUACCAUUAAAGAUUAUGGCAAGGAACUGGUUGGCGCUAGAAUAAAAGUUUGGUGGCCAUUGGAUGAAAAGUAAGUUCUUUGGAAUAUUGAUGUGAGCACUGCAAAUCAUAUUAAAUUUGUUGUAUUAAUCACACUCAUCCACCCAACCAUCCUGCGCGCACACACUUUUCAGCAACUUGAUGUAGCCUUCAGUUAUCGAGUUUAUGCUCUAAAAUAUUGGAUUUGCUGCUAGGUUUUAUGUGCAAGAACCUCGUUCCUCCCAGUUACUUAUACUCCUAUGUCUUUGAAUUUGAUUGUAUUGCAAGAAUACUAGCAUGUGUUUAUUUGUAACUUGUAUUAUUCCUUGGUUCAUUCAAUAUUUCUUGAGUAGUACCCUCUGUCCAAAUAUAUGUCUCAGUUUUCUAUUGGGCACAAAGUUUAAGAAGGAAAGAAAGAAAGACUUUUGAUACUAGUCGUCUAAAACAUGCUAUGGAUAUUUCUGUGGCUAUAAAAUCAUGUCAUGGAGGGUACAAUGGGAAGUUCAAAUUAUAUCUCUAUUUGGACAGGCUAAAAAGGGAAGUGUGUCACAUAAAAACAGGACAAAUGAAGUAUUUGUUAGUCCAUGAUCCUUGAUGCUUUAAGCAGAGUUAAAACUAGCAGACGGUUCCUGCAUAUUAUGGCAGUCAUAGGCAGAGUCAGACUGUAACCUUUUGUUGUUUAUGGGUUCCUGAGUUUCCAAUGCAGCUUGAUUGUCUAAAAAGCUGAUGUUUUCUUGUUUGUCUAACAAAAGAUUUAUGGAUUACAAUUGGUUCUGCAUGUAACUUACAAGAUAGUUCAAGUAUCCAUUCUGUUCAGAUCACAAGUAUGUGAAAAAAUAUCUCCGUCAUUUUUCAAUUUACUCGAAACAGUUCAUACUAAUUAUCAACUUUCUUCCACGUGAGUUUAGGUUUACCUCAUCUUCUUUCAACACCUACUCUCAUUAUGGUUUCACACCAUGAUCAAUGACCUCGCAAGAAAGGAAAACAAGAGAUAUGGAAAUUAUGGAAUUGAUUAUCAUCAAGAAUAAUAUGUUACAAAUAAUUAACUAAUAAUAAUAAUCUUCGAACAAGUAGUUAACCUUGGAAUCUCAAUUGCCCACUAAUGUCACUUGACUAUUUAGCGGGUUUAACUUAGCUAGCUCUUCAAAACCAACUAGGAGACACUAAUUACAUUUCAAUUUUGGGCUACCCGUAAGUUCUUCCUAAAUUGUGGUCUUGAUGUGCUCCGCAGAACUAGAAUGUGGUCUGCAAAUGGGCUUCAUGACAUGUUAUUCUUGAUCGCAGACUGGAAUGCGGUCCGCAGAACAGCAAGGGGACCGCAAAAGAUCAUCGCAUUUUGGUCUUCAAAGUCCUUUUAAUCUGUCUCUUUUUGUGGCUGACAGACCCAUUCUGCGGUGUGCAGUCUGGUUUUGCGGCGGUCCACAGAACGGUUCAAUUUUUUGAUGUGUUUGUUCACUUUUGCCCUUUUUUUGUGUCCUACCUCAAAACAUCUACAAAACGUAAAAUAACAUAAGAAUCAUAUACCAAAAAAGCAUUAAGGACAUGAAAAGUCUAUGUAAAUGGCAUAGAAUGUGCUGGAAUUUCACGGCACAUCAAAGAGUUAGCAGGAAUGUAGCCUCUGUUGUAGAUCUAUCAGGCAUAAAUCUCAACUGGCUUCUGUUACUCUAUGUUCCAUCACUCUUUCCCCGAGUUUCAUCGUAUACUCAUGAGUUUAAUGCCAUUAUUGUUCGCACAACUUUGAAUAUCUCUUUGUUCUUCAAUUCAUUGUAUCUACCAAUUUUGAUGUUACUUUAUCUUGAAUAUAUGAAAGAAGAAUCUAGCUACAAUGUCUCAUCUUAAAGUUUCUCUUUAUAGGUUUUAUGAGGGAGUCAUUUCUUCUUUUGAUUCUGACACAAACAAACACGAGGUGACAAUAUUAUUUAUUUUUAUGAGUUCUUGUCAUUGUUUCUCUAAUUAAGAAUGUUUUUUUAAGUUACUUAUAUGCUCCAUUUUAUUUUAUACACUUCUCAUUCGGGAUAUCUUUUAAUGUUUAAUGCAUGUACAACCCCACAACAACAACAAUUCCACAUCCUUGAUCAGUUUAAACUUUUGUAUCAUAUGUUUUAAAAAAAGUUCUCCUACCACUGCUAAUAUACCUGCAAGUAAAAUUAACUCCAUGUUAAGUCAAAUGGGGUCGGAUAAACUAGGGAAUAGACAAAUCUAUUUUAACUCUUCAAAAUCAAGAGCUGCCACGUAAAUCCCUUUUUACAUACAGGUACAACCUUACAGUUUAGAGACAUCUUUGUUGUAGACCCUAUUCUUAAAUAUACUGAUCGUGAAGAAGCAUUAUCUAACUUGAACCAUAUUUUAUUGGCUUUAACAUUUUGCAAAAAAUCCUCCUGAAAGUUCCAAAUGACCAGUGUUGUUUGGUGUUUCCUUUUUUAGGUCAUGUAUGAUGAUGGUGAAGUAGAGAAAUUGAGACUACAUAAAGAACGAUGGAAGAUGCUUGAAGAUAAUUUAUCUCAAAAGGUUCUCUACCAUCUGAUAUACUAUUUUUUCUGACAGAUUUCAUAUUAGAAAGGUUCUAAGUGUUUUCAUGUCUGAAGCACUCGUCGUUCUAAUUUUAUUUUCAGGAUUCUAAAAGGACUUGUACCAUUAAAGAUUAUGGUAAGGAACUGGUUGGCGCUAGAAUAAAAGUUUGGUGGCCAUUGGAUGAAAAGUAAGUACUUUGGAAUAUUGAUGUGAGACUGCAAAUCAUUGUAAAUUUGUUGUACUAAUCACACUCACCCACCCAACCAUCCUGCACACACACACACACACUUUUCAGCACUUGAUGUAGCCUUCAGUUUAUGCUCUAAAAUAUUGGCUUGCCUGCUAGGCUAUGUGCAAGAACCUCGUUCCUCCAGUUACUUAUAUGUCUUUGGAUUUGAUGGUAUUGCAAGAAUUCUAGCAUGUGUUUAUUUUUAGCUUGUAUUAUUCCUUGGUUCAUUCAAUAUUUCUUGAGUUACUCCCUCUAUCCCAAUAUAUGUCUCAGUUUUCUGUUGGGCUCUAACUUUAAGAAAGAAAGAACGUCUUUUGAUACUUGUUGUCUAAAACAUGCCAUAGAUGUUUCUGUGGCUAUAAAAUCAUGUCAUAGAGGGUAAAAUGGGAAGUUCAAAUUUAAAUUAUUUCUAAAUUAUAAUUAUAAAAGGUGUCAUUUUGUUUUUCGACAGGCUAAAAAGGGAAGUGUGUCACAUAAAACAGGACAAAUGAAGUAUCUGUUAGUUCAUGAUCCUUGAUGCUUUAAGCAGAGUUAAAACUUGCAGACAAUUCCUGCAUAUUAUGGCGGUCAUAGGCAGAGUCAGACUGUAACCUUUUGCUGUUAAUGGGUUCCUGAGUUUCCAAUGCAGUUUGUUUGUCUAACAAAAGAAUUAUGGAUUGCAAUUGGUUCUGCAUGUAGCUUACAGGAUAGUUCAAGUAUCCUUUCUGUUCAGAUCACAAGUAUGUGAAAAAAUAUCUGUCAUUUUUCAAUUUACUCGAAACCAUUCAUACUAAUGUAUCAAUCACAUGGUCCUUUUCUCUUUUCCUUUUUCUCCUCUCUGCCUUAUUCUCCAUCCAAAAGGAUCAGCCACGUAUCAAACAACCAACCUCCACUACAAUUUGACCGAUCAUAGUAUUUACCUUUGGUAGAUUUCUCCUGUUGGUUGCCUCUUGUAUGAAAGUUUGAAACAGGCUAAUGUUGCUGGCGAUAUUACUAUUCUAUAUAUUUGAUUCAUUUUGAAUUAUUCUUUUUGCAAGUACUUGUUGGCUCACAAUUCCUCUGCAAACAUAACUCAGUGAAAUAGAUAACAAUGUAAAAAUUGAUGAGUUACUGUGGAUACACUCAGUUUGGACUGUAGUUUAGAAACCCUAUAUUGUGACUCGUGGUGUGUCAGAUGACAUUUCAAUUUCAUUUCUAUCAAUUCCAGUAUUAGUUUAUCUUGAAUAAGGAGGAAGAAUCUGCUACAUUUGCUCAUCUUAAUGUUUCUCUUUGUAGGUUUUACGAGGGAGUAGUUUCUUCUUUUGAUCCUGUGGAAAGGAAACACAAGGUGAUGAGAUUAUUAUGAAGCAUUGUCAUUGUCUCGCUAAAUUCAUAAUUUUCUUUGAGUUACUGUUUAUGGUUAAACACUUCUCAUUCAUAUUUAUAGAUCUGUUUGAAUCCUAGUAUCAUAUGUUUCCUUAUCUAAAUAAUAUCAGGUGACAUAUAUGUUAAUUAAUAUUAAUUAUAUCUCCAUGUUGAGUCAAAUGGGGUCACAUAAAAUAGGGAAUAGCCAAGUCUAUUACUUUUCAAAUUCAUGAUCUGCCACAUAAAUCCAUUCUUACAUACACGGAUGACCUUACAAUUUAGAAACCUCUUUGUUACAGCCUUAUUCAUAACUAACCAAGGAAGGGAAAUAUAAACUGAUCAUGAAGUAGAAAUCUUACCUAACUUGCACAUGUUGUUCUGGUGUUUCUCUUCUUAGGUCUUAUAUGAUGAUGGCGAAGCAGAGAAAUUGAGACUACAUAAAGAACGAUGGGAGAUGCUUGAAGAUAAUUCAACUCAAAAGGUUCCUUACCCGUCUGAUAUAUACUGUUGUCUCUUACAGAUUUCAUAUUCUUGUUGCAUUUAUAUCUGUUUUGAUGUUAUUGUUUUCGGUGCAAUCUGUACAGGACCAUGGAUUAGACUUUCAAGGCCAUGCUGUUUCAUCUGCUACGUAAGUAUUGAUUCUAAUUUUGUUAUAACAUUUGGGAUAUCCAGCUUCAAUUGUUGUGCUUCACUUGUAGAUACCAAAUUUCUUUUUAGGAUUUGUCCAGCACAUCACCUUAGACAUGUCAAUAUAUUUGGUCCUCCUUGUAGCUCAGAGAGAAAAAUUCCAUUUAUGUAAAUCUUUGUUUGGAUAUUCAAGUCAACCCAAAACAAACUAUCUAUGCAUGUCUCUACCUGGAGAGUUGAGGCUAAUUAUCAGCCUUCCUUCUCUUCUUAAUGUUGUCAAAAUGUGACAAAUUAGAGCAAGUCUCCCCACCUAAAAGAAAUUGGUAAUACCAAGAUAGACAAUUCACUUUGUGUACACGGGAAAUUCCACAGGGAGGUUCCACAUACUCAAUUUGCAAAUUCUUAAUGUUGUCGAGGUUUGUAACUUCAAGCAAGUUACACCACCUGAAAGAAUUGGUAUACCAACAGGAAGUAUCUAAGAACAUACACUCUUUUUGGCAAAAUUUUCUCUUUUCCCGUCUGAGGGGGAUAACGUGGUUGUACUCUCAUUUCUUAGUUUCAAGUAUGGUAUCAGGAAAAUCUCUCUUAAACAGGCAAUAAGUGUAUUUUCAUGCACACUAUUGACACUUUAUAUGUUUUUGUUUGAUGAACUGGAGCAGGUCUUAAAUGAAGAAAGCAAAAAGAAACUCCUCGACAGGGCCAAACAUCUCUUCAUCCAAAAGGUUUUUCUGUUUGUUACACUUGCACCCCUAGUACGCAUUCUAAACUGAAUAUUCAAUGUUUUUACUCAAAUGAGCUGUAAUUUUUAUCUCCAGGUCAUAAAGUACGGCAGAGUAGAAGCGCACUGAAUCAGUGGAAUAUUCUGUUGUGGAUAGGGAAGAAACUCAACUCAUGGAAGUCUUGAAGAAUUUUCCUAAAGCAGUGUGAUGUAAAUGUAACUACUAAAUUAGGUUUACCAAUAAGGGAUGUGAUCCAAUUGAUUGGAGAAAUGAGAUGUUAGUCUUAGAAUAUGUCAGCAGCAAAAAAAAAGAAACUGAGCUUGUCAUGCUUGUAGAUUUAUUGUAUGUAGCUACAGGCUGCUCUUGGUGUUUACAAAUACUUGGCGGCUUAUAUGUAUAUGAUUAAAUUACUGAUGUUGGAGAAUUCAGAACCCAUGAAGUUUAAAUUAUGAAUCUGCAAUUUUCAAAUUGGUUGUGGUUUCAUUGUAUGUUUCCAAGUGUAACUUAGCUGAAAUUCAUAUACUAUCUGGUUAAUAAAUACAGUAAAUUAAUGUGUAAAGAAAUAAGAACAAGACAGGUAAGAUGAAGAAAUUUAGAUAAGACUAAACUAAGGAGGAUUUUGAUUUCCAAAACAUUGAAGUCGUUUGUUGUGGCCAAAUUCAUGCAUGCUUACGUAUUUAGAGUAGACAGAUGAUGUGAUUUUUAGGAGUAAUUGUUUAACCAAGUUUCCAGUGGAUUAAAGAAGUAGCGAAGUUAAUCAUGUUUUGGUUCUAAUCACAGCAUGAUAUGUAGGGGUACUCAUACCUAAGUUGCUGGGACUCAAGUACAGAUGUGCCAUACGGAUAUAGAUAUAUCUAAUAGAAGUUGGACCCUUCGUAAUAGAAAUUUUGAGAUUUAGGUAUACAUUUUCAGACACGAAUAUGGUUGCAGGAAUUCAAAUUCCUAAAAUAGAGUUAUACGUUGAAUUAUGUGAGAAACUUAUUAGGCAUUAUGAAGAGAAAGUAUUGAUCAAGAGAAGAAUCCCGUAAGGAGAUGAAAGCUAACAGACUGACAUAGAAAUUUCUCUAUACAAGCUAUAUCCCAUUUCAUUCAAUUUCAUCAUCAUUUUUGUUUUGAUUAUGAAAAUCAUAUGUCAAAUUUGGUUGAAGUAUCCAAAAUUGGUUGAUCAAAUUCAAUACUAAUUUCACGUAUUAUAUCGACAUUCGACACGAAUGCAACACCUAACCUGAAGCAUACGAGCAACUUAGAUUCAUUGUGCUUUGCGUGUUUCCAUAUCUUCACCACAUGCCAUGUUAUUCCUAAUUUUCUAUGGAAUAUAAUUACACUAUUUCUUGCUUAGAUUUUUGUUUGUGCUUCCAUAGAUAGAUAUAAAAGUAUAAAAUAUUGAACAAGCACUGCACAUGUUACGCAUUGGUUGAACUAGAAGGUCGAGUAUGAGUUCGGUCCAACGUCCAAAAUUUAUAUUUAUAAUUAAAAAAAUUACUUACAUACAUAAAGAAGUUAGAUUAGAACUCAAUUAUUGAUACUUGAUGUUAGUUAUUCUUUCGAUUGUUGGACUAGACUGAAUAUGUUGUAGUCGAAGUCGCUCUGCUCUUGAGCCAAUGAUCUGUCCCAAUACAGAAGCAGCAAUGGUUAAUGCCAUAGCUGAUUUAGGCAUCACAACUGAUUUCCUCAACAUAGCUAUGAAAGGAACAGCAGCAUGAACUGCAGUAAACCAUGAUAAUGAGAACUUGUCAGUGUGUUCUCUCCAUAUCCCUAAUGGAAUAUUAACUGCCAUUCCCAAUGCACCAAUAACUAACAUCUUCGAAAAUAAUGGUUGCGGCCGCAUAGUCUUCACAAAAACAGUCCUAGCUAGUGCAGCCCUGACUGCAACAACUGCAGGUGGGCAUUUGAAUUUAAUUCCAGGAGGUAGCUGAAAAGCUGAUGCCACAAUUGGGAGAACUCCUCUAACACCUCUACAAGAUUUCGCGAUAGGACAAUUCCCUGUUUCUAACCACUCAUUCCCCAUUGCCUCGUGCUUAUUCGAUGAUUUUUCCUCAGGAAAAGGUUCUUUCUUCUUCUUCGAAUUCCAUUUCCGAGAGAAUGAAUCAAAACUAAAAGGACCUCCUGAUCCGAAUGAUGAUAAACUUAUUGAAGCUGUUUUUGCAGCUAAAGGAUGAAAUUGAGAAACAGAGUACUCUGUUUCCAUUUUGUUUGAUUCCAAUGAUUUGAAUGCUCUCUACUUUGCUAGCACGAUUCCUAUUUAUAAAAGUGUAAAGCCUAAUUUAAUUAGGAUUAUAAAUCAUAUUCCUAUAUUAAUUUGACUAUAAAUCUUAAUUAGACACGAGUUAAGUAAAUUCCAAAUCCUAUAUAAAUUUGGUUUUCUACUCUAAAUUUGAAUUACUCUUCCAAAAUGCAAAAUCAAUCAUGUUUUGAUUUCAUAGUGCAUCACUUAAUUUCCUUAUCUAGUAUUAUAAUUAGACUAUAGGUUAGUUUUUUUUUUUGUGCUAGGGUUACCAUAUAUAAUAUAUUGGACACGCAUUGCAUAUGUUAUUUUCUUUUUUUGUUAUGUGUCACUACUGCAAAGUGUUUUAUUACAAUCUUUUUCUAUAAAUUUGAAGAUGUUCUUUUUAUAUUUUUACAUCAUAGUAGCAUAUUGUUCUUUUAUUAUUUCUCAAAAUUUAAUAAUGUCAAUUAUGAAGAAUGGAACGCGUUAGUAAAUAUGAUUUUUUAAGUGUGAAGCUUCUUAAUAAAGUUUGAGUUUAGGCCUAAUACAUGAAACAAGAAUUGAAAAGAAAGUAUCAAAGGGUAAAUUUUAAGCCAUAGAAGUAAUUUCCCUAAAUUUCUUUGUUCAAAUUAUUUUCAUAAAGUAAAUAAAACUAUUUAGGAUUACAACUUCCAUUUUUCUAUUUCUAUACAGGAACAAAAAGUAUCUUUAGGUAACUUUGAAGCUACAAAAUUAAUUUUCCUAAAUUGUUUCAGUCAAAUUAUUUCCAUAAAGUAAACCAGAACUAUUUAGGAUUGAAUUUUUGAGGUAAUAUUCAAGAAUGAAAUUAAUGUUAACAAAAAAUGAAAAUACAAACCGAAUUGUAAUUGAUGAAAUUUAAAGAAAAAAAAUGAGAGAGAAAAAAGUACGAAUUAAAGACUAAAUUCAAAUAUUAAGAAUGUUAAUAUGUGAAUUAGCAGUAGAUAAUUAUUCCUAACAAGAACAUCAAUAAUCCAAUAACGUAAAAUUUCAAUUUAGCGAAAGUAAAUAUAUUGUUAUUUUAAAAAAACGUGUUUGGAGAAAUUAGUCAUUAUUAGAUAUUCUUCCUCAAUAAAUAUUGUUCUUUUUUUUUUUUAAUUCAAAGGACCCAGGGGGUCUGAUUUAUUAACUAGAAAAAAAAUUAAAAAAAAUGUUGAUAUUUACAACAGUGGGCUAGCCUAAAGUGCUAAGCCCAUUAACUAAAUCUGCAAAGGACAGAUAAAAAAACAAAACCAAUUAAAAAGGGGCAAAUUAUAGAAAUCACAUACUUUUAAGGCAAAAUUAUAAUUUAUUCUUUAAAAAAUUAUAAUUACAGAAAUUUCUCAAACGGAUACAAUAAUAUAAGUGCUGAUACAUUAAUUUGAUGCGCGAGAUACAUUAAUCGUUAAGUAAGAUACAUUACAUUUUAUACAUGAUACAUUAAUCUGAUGUACAUUUUAUACAUGAUACACUAAUCUGAUGCACGAGAUACAUUAAUCUGAUGCGCGAAAUACACUAAUCUGAUGCGCAAAAAUGAGGAAUUUUAGAGAUUUGUAAAACUUAUAGGAGAUAACGAUGAUAAAUAAACUAAAAUGUGGGAUUUCUGUAAAUUUUUUAUUAAAAAUAGGGAAAGAAAAAACCAAUAUCCCAUAAUCAAAUAGGAAAUUUCCAGCGGACUCCUCGAUAGUUUCACUCCGUUGAUCCUGAGGGAGCUGAAUAGAGAAACCAAUGAAGUAGAAGAAGAAGCUACAGAUAAGGUUUUUCAGUUGAUAUUUAUAUUGUACUGCUGCUUUCAAACCAAUUUUCAUUCAUAUAUCAUUGGGCAUUACAUCAUAGGUGAUUUUUGUAAGUAAACUAAUGAUUUUUACUCGAAUUUUUCAUUUUGAUAUUUUGAGUGUUUCUUAAAAAAUUACAGUCGCGUACCCAACAGGUAAGUCAUCUGUUGCAACAGAUAGAUUACCUGUUGGAUACAUAUUACAGUACCAUGUCAAGCUGGACUGAAUCAGAAGUUUAUCCCAACAAAUAAGUCAUUUAUUGCAAUCGAUGAGUCAUCUGUUGCACCAGAUGAGUCAUCUGUUGCAACAGAGUGCUUACCUGUUGGAUACAUAUUACAGUACCAUGUCAAGCUGGACUGAAUCAGAAGUUUAUCCCAACAAAUAAGUCAUUUAUUGCAAUCGAUGAGUCAUCUGUUGCACCAGAUGAGUCAUCUGUUGCAACAGAGUGCUUACCUGUUGGAUACAUAUUACAGUAUCAGGCCAGAUUGGGAAAGAACCAGAAACUUGUCACAAUAGAUGAAUUAUUUAUUGCAACAUAUGAGUCAUCUGCUGCACUAGACGAUUCAUUUGUUGCAACAAAUGGCUUACCUGUUGAAUACAUGUUACAGUACCAGGCCAAACUAAGACAAAACCAGAAAUUUAUCCAAACAGACAAGUCAUAUAUUGCAACAGAUUAAUUACAUAAUGCAACAGAUCAAUUACCGGUUGAAACAGAUGACUCAUCUGUUAUAAUAAUUGACUUACAUGUUAGAUAAGCUUAUGGUUCUGGACCUGUAUCCAACAAGUGAAUCAUCUGCUGCAACAUUUUACUAAAUUUUCCAUAUAUAUUAGUAUACUUUUUUAAAAAUUGAUUUCUAAUAUUCCGUAAUUUUGAGAAAUGAUUGUUCAAUCAUAAAUAUAUAAUUGGAGAAUGUAUUAAUUCUCUCGUAAUUUGAUAAAGCUGAUAGAAAAAAGAAAAAAAAUUAUUUUUACUAUAUUAGAUUAGGUAAAGAGGAAACAAAAAGAGUAAUUUGUUUAUUUAUAUCAAAUUACACUAAUACCAACAAGGGUUGUGGUUAGUAGUCAUUCAUUCUUAACCAGAGGUCUCGAGUUUGAGUCUCUUUGAAUCCCUUGGAUAAUCUAAAAAGUUUACAUUAUCGAGCACAUAACUUAGAUCGGGAAUAAAACAACUCUUCUCUUAUUACCUUAUGCAGGAAAGUUACAUAGUACCACCUGAGCCUGGUGUGAAGCCCAUGAGCCAAGAUAAGUUACCAAAGCCCAUUGUGUUCCAUGAUGGCCGACUUGUUCAAAAACCAAGCCCUUUAAUGGCACUCAUCAUUAUUCUUUGGAUCCCUGUUGGAUUCCUCUUAGCAUGUUUGCGUAUAGCCGCGGGUACGCUCUUACCGAUGCCUUUAGUCUAUUACGCCUUUUGGUCCCUUGGGGUUCGAGUCAUAAUCAAAGGCAACCCACCUCCUCCGGCCCGAAAAUCCACGGGCCAAACCGGUGUCCUAUUUAUUUCCUCUCAUCGAACCCUUCUUGACCCAAUUUUCCUCUCAACGGCCCUAGGUAGGCCCAUCCCUGCUGUCACUUACUCGCUGUCACGACUCUCUGAGAUUAUUUCACCUAUUAAAACGGUCCGUCUUAGCCGUGACCGCAUAACGGAUGCUAACAUGAUCAAAAAACUUUUACAAGAAGGUGAUUUGGUUAUAUGCCCUGAAGGAACAACAUGUAGAGAACCAUUUUUACUAAGAUUUUCGGCUUUAUUCGCGGAAUUAACCAACGAGCUUGUCCCCGUGGCGAUGUGUAAUAAAAUGAGCAUGUUCCAUGGCACGACGGCUAGGGGUUGGAAAGGAAUGGACCCUUUUUAUUUCUUCAUGAAUCCUAGCCCUUCAUAUGAGGUGAAUUUUUUGAACAAAUGGCCAUAUGAAUUGACUUGUAAAGCUGGAAAAUCAAGCCAUGAUGUGGCAAAUUAUAUACAGAGGACGAUUGCCGCAACGUUAUCGUAUGAGUGCACCAAUUUUACAAGGAAGGAUAAGUACAUGGCUUUGGCUGGAAAUGAUGGAACAGUGACUACAAAAUCUGAAUUUGCAAGCAAGAAAGUGACGACGGGCUGCUAAUAACAGAGAUAAAAGUUUAUGAUUUGUCUUCAAGAGUUCUAAUUUGGUGUUUUUCCAAAUUUUAUAGACAUGUAUAGUUAGUAUACUUUAAUAGAAAAUCGAAAUAAACUAGUAGUAUAGCGGUUGUCUUGAUAUAAGGACAGAUAAAAUACUUCGAAAAAAUAUGUACAAAAUUACCUCAUAAAUAUGCAAACGUUUUAAAUAGAUGUACAUAAAUUAUGCUAUACGUUUCACCGUAUUACAAGAAAUGAUAGGUAAGAUCAUCUUUUAAAAUCAUGAAUUUAUCGCUAUGUUAAUAAAUUUAAAAAAUGGCCUUAAAUGAGCUUUUGGGAAAAAAUCAUACGAUCGUAUUAGAAGUAUUCUUGGACCGGCUCAACAAUGAGGCCCAAAACAUAAUUUUCUGAAUCAAAUUUCACCGAUCAGUCAAUUACAAUUUUUUCUUCAGGGUAAUUGAUUUACAGUGUUAGGUGCAAUAAAUACACUAUAUCAUGCAUGCCAGUAGAGUGUUUAUUGCUUGAAAAAAAUGGAAAAAGGAGUUAUCCCCUUUGUCCAAUUAUAGUUGUCCACUGUUCUAUUUUAGGAUGUCCAAUAAUUUUUGUUCACUAUAUGAAAUCAAUGAAUAAUUUUACACUUAGUUCCUAAUUUAUUCUUAUCAUUAAUUAUAAUUCUUCUCUAUUACAUUUUUCAAGACAUUGUAUUUAUUAUAUUGAAAGGGUGAUAUAGUAAAAUUAUUCUUUUGUUUAUAGUUUUUAAGAAGAGCGUAAAGUCAAUAGUGGACAAAUAUUGUUGGACAGAUAGUGUCUAAUAGUUAAUACUACUAUUCAAGUAAUAUUUGACUGUUUGCAAUUUGCAGUAUAAAUAACAUAAAUAUUUUUUUCCAAAAAAAAUAAAAUGAAGUCAGUUGUAGGCAUAAAGUAUUUUCCUUUUUAACUUCAAUGUCAUUUACCAAAAAAGUACUCUCCUUUUUUUCACAUUGUACACUGGCAGUAAAAGCUACAUACCAUAAUCUAAUAACAGAAAAUGAAAGUAAUCCACGAAAGAUUUCUCCAAUGAAAACUAAAUUUACUUUUGAGUUGAUUUCUGAUAUGGUUAUUAAGUGUUAACUUCUCACAAAGUCACUUCUCUUAUUAAAAAAAUUGGAAUCAAGAAGAAAGACGACUUCGUGUAACACUCUGUGUUGUUUGAUGGAUUGUUGUCUUCAUGUUAUUCUUCUAUUCUCCCUCUGUUUCAUUGCCGUUUUUCCUCACCUAUCUCAUUCUUCACGUCAAUCUUCCUUGUGGAAUGGCAAUAAAGAAAUGUACUGAUCCUAUCUCCAGUUUCCCUCUUCCUCUUUUACUGGUUACAGCUUUGAUGAAUGCUUUUUUUUUUCUUUCAGAAAAACGUCGAUUUUGAAACUGACGACUAAUUCCUUGUCGACUCCAAUUGAUCCAACACGGGUUACACAAAUUUCAUGGCACCCCAGGUUUGUUUAUAUAUGGCUGAUUUCCUGAGAAUUGCAAAGAAUGAAGAUUAAUUUGAUGGAGCCCUGAUAAUGAUUUUGAAUUUAUGCAGAGUUUUUAUAUAUAGGAAUUUUUUGACAAAUGAAGAGUGUGAUCAUUUCAUCUCACUGGUUAGCCUUUUUUUUCCCUCUUUCUUUCUCUGUUCCUAUCUUUCAUUCAGAAAUGUGGGAGUUUUAGUUAAUGCAAGUAAAGGUCAUUUUGCGUUAGUUUAAAGAGAAAAUAAUUUCUUAUAUACAUUUUACUAUUAUUUGAGUUGAGGGUCUAAACAUCCUCUCUAUGUUCACAAGUUCUGCUUUCGCGCUACUCUCUCCAGGCCCCUCUUAUGAGAUUACACUGACUAACCGAGUGUUUAGCCCCUAUAUAUCAUUGGAUGUGAACUUAGCAUCCUCUAUAUGUAUAUAUAUAUAUAUUCAUCUCCAAAUUAUUUCACUUUUGAAUUUUUCGCCUUUGAAUAACAUUGGCUUUGGUGAAUCAGGCUAAAGAUAGUCUGGAGAAAUCCAUGGUAACUGACCUUGAAACAGGGGAGAGCAUAGAGAGUGAAUAUCGGACAAGUACUGGCGCAUUUCUCAACAAAGCUCAGGUUCAUGUCCUGUACCUCUUUUCUAUGCUGCAAUUUCUUUUUCAGAACUUUAUUAGUGUUGAAACUUUUGUUAAUCUUUAUUAAAGGAUGAAGUUGUUGCUAAUGUGGAAGCAAGAAUAGCUGCCUGGACAUUUCUCCCUGAAGGUACUUUAGUACUACCUCUAUGACAUUGAUUGGCUUCAUCUCUAUAAAUUCUUAUUUUUACGCCAACUUGUCAAUCAAAUAAUGGAGAACCAAUGCUAUUGCAUUAUGAACAUGGGCAAAAAUACGAGCCACAUUUUGAUUAUUUUAUGGACAAAAUUAAUCAAGAGAUAGGCGGUCAUCGUGUAGCUACUGUCCUUAUGUAUUUAUCAGAUGUUGAUAAGGGUGGAGAAACAGUUUUUCCUAGAUCAGAGGUAAUUCCAAUUUUGUAUGACUUUCCUGUUUUUCGCGUCAACUACUUGAGACGAAAACUUUCCUUUCUUCUAAACCUACAGGCUGCAGAUUCUAAACCUAAAGCAUAGGGUGGGGUUAGUCGAUUUGCUCUUCCUAGAACAAUCAGUUGGUCCACUUCCUAAAGCAUAAACAAGCAAAAGCUUCAUUGUCUUAACCGGAAUCGCACAAAACCUGGGCAGCGCUUGAGGGAAGAGUAUAUGCAAAUUGUAACCUCCCUCAGAAUAGUCUCUUUGCAGUAUUUUUUUUUAAAAAAAAACUAAAAAACCUUAAUUUUUUUCAAAAAAAAUGAAGCUUUACCUAUAAAUCGUUGUUCCCUUGGAUGGUUAGAAUAGACUAAUCGAAAGUUCAAAAUACGGCCAUCGAAAGUUGAAAGUUGCCGGAGAAAUUGAUUAUCCCGAUUAAAGCAAUUUUGAAUUUUUGAGAGAGGAGAACUUUUCUUCUGUGGGAGAGAGGAGAACAUUUGAGAGAGGGAGUGGAAAGUUUGUUUAUUUAGUGGGUGGAUUAUUUUGUAUUUCUAAAAAGAUUAUAAGUUUUGAAAAUGUUAAUUGAGUCCACAAUUAACUUAAUUUAAUAGUUAAGUGUGUUUGACCUUUUCUUGGUCAAAAUAGUUACCAAUAGUUAAUUCCAAACUUGAAGGAUACCUUUCCUUCAAUUUUCUCAGGUUUCUUGCUACUUCGAUUUGUAGAUACUUCUAUAGAUAGAUCUAUCUAACUAUGUACCUUGUUAUUCAAUUCAAGCACCACAUCCGCUUCAUACCUCGACAAAAGAGAUGAAAAAAUGGGAUAUCUUCAUAAAGCACACGGUACGGUACGCCUUCUUUCAUGAACUAUUUGAAUGUGAUAUGCGUCGUCUACUAUUGCUUCAUUGAUGAUUCAUAGAAUUGCUAUUGAGAACAAUUAAUUCUAUAAAUCGGUCUGAUUCUAAACUCAAAACAAAACUAUUAGGUAAGAAACUUGUGCCUUUCCCUAUUAAUUAUCUUCGAUAGGAUGAGUUUCGAAGAAACUAAUACCACACAUCAAAAAUAAUCUCAAGGUUCCAGCACAAAUGCAAAAACCAGAUAAUUUUCCGUUUUAGUUUUAAGGAUGUGACUUACCACUUACUAAUAUUUUUAAAAUUAGUGAAUAAUAAAUGACCAAACAUCCUCAAACCAUAAUACACCAAGUAUCACCAGAAAACAGUAGAAGAAAAACCUCACCCAAUGCCUAUGCCUUAGUCUGUAAUCAUUGUACACCUUAAACUCUCACCAGGUGGCAUGAUAGACAGACUAUAUGAAUUCAUUUCAGACAUUACAUUAGAGUAAAAGUAUCCUUUUCUAGUUUCCUUUAAUCGCAAUCAUACUGAUUAAUGUAGAACUACCCAACCUAUCUGUUGUGAAGUGGAGUGAGCCUAAAAUUAGGCAUACUCCACUUGUCCAUAUUAAGAAUUUUCUUUGCUGCAUUAGGAAGAUCCUGAAAGUUUUCCACCAUAUAUGUACCUGCAAAAUCAACAGUUAAGGUUCCUGCCAGGGUGUUUCCUUCCCUUAGAGUGUGUUUCAUUUGGAUAGGAACAUGAUUCCUCAUUCUGUUGAUUGCUUCAACCUCCUUAACCACACUCCAAGGCACUUACCAAAUUCCUUCGAUAAAAUUUGUCAUAGAUAACGAAUCAGUCUCUAUUAUUAGUGGCAAUAGAUUCCUUUCAAUGCAAAAUUGAAUUCCCUCUCUUAUAGCCACUGCUUCAGCAACAAUACCGGUUGAAAGUGGUAAGCUUCUCCCUUUAACCCCUAAAAUGUUACCUUCACUGAUCCUCACACAAAAAGCAGCUGAACUAAGGCCAGGAUUACCUUUGGAUGCACCAUCAGUAUUACAUUUAUACCAUCCAAGAGGAGGAUGUAACCACCUCACAAUCCUAUAACUGUAACUGGGUUGCCAUCUUUCCAAAACUUUGACAAUAUGAGGCCAACUCUUAGGUAGAUACUGGAAAAAAGGAAACUUGGAUCUUAUAAACUUAUGAAUAGUAUUAUUUGCAUCAAAAAUAAUCUUCUCAUAAGCAUAUAAACCACCAUGAAGAAUGAUAUUUCGUCUUUUCCAUAAGAACCAGAGAACUAUGAUAGGGACAACGGCCAUGACACUUUUAAAUUUGUCAUUUCCCUGUGCAUCUCUCCACUUCAUGACAGUUUGUUUAAUUUGAAUGAAAGGACCUUGAAUUCCAGCAGCAUUUGCAAAAUAUAACCAUACCUUUUUGGCCAUCUCACCAGAUAGGAAAAGAUGUUGUACAGUUUCAGGCAAUGGUACUGUACAACAAACAUAAUUAGGAUUUACAAACCUAUCCCAAUGAGCAAUAGUAGUGGCCACAGGUAAUUUGUUACCCCAAAUCCUCCAAGCUAAAAAACCAAAUUUAAAAGGUAAAUCAUUCACCCAAACCGGCUUAUAUUGGACGUUCACUUCCUUCUUGUAUCUUAUUAACUCCCAAGCAGAGCUAACCUUGAACUUCCUUGUAUUGUUGAGUAACCACCAUGGUCUAUCCAAAAGAUUAGAGGGUAUAAAGUUGCUCACUUGCAUUCCAACAUGUUCAACUACUCUUUCAGGUAGAAACUGUUGCAAUUUGUCCAUAUCCCAGCCUUCGUCAUUCAUCAAUUCACUAAAAUCCCCCAAUUCUGGAUAAAUCUGACAUUCAGGGUCUUGGUGUAAUGGACCAAGCUUAGUCCAAUUUUCAUACCAUAUGUUAGUGGUGCCACCCCUAAGUUCCCACCAAAUAUGUUUUUCUAGCUCAGCCCUAUUUUCUAACAUGUACUUCCAACCUUGGGAGCCCCUCUUCCAAAGAACUACAGUAGGUAUUUCUUUCUUGCAAUAUUUACUCCACAUAAAUUUGCCCAUAGUGAUCUACCAGUUCUAAAUUUCCACCAUAACUUUGCAAACAUAACCUUGGAUACAUCAAACAGUGAUCUGAAACCUAGACCACCUUCCUCUUUGGGUAAACAAACAUCAUGCCAAGCAACCCAAUGUUUACUUCCGCCUGUUUCUUUGUUGUUCCAAAAGAACCUUGCAAAAAUCUUGUGUAACUCAGUAAUUACACAUUUUGGUGGGACAAUAACAGGUAAAAUAUGAAUAGGGAUACUUUGUAACACACUACAAAUUAAUGUAGCCUAACCACCAUAGGAGAGCAUCCUCCCUUUCCAAGUUUGGAGCUUAUUUUUCACCUUUGUAAUGAGCUCAUUAUAAUCACUCUUCCUCUUCUUAUCAUGGGUGAUAGGACACCCUAAAUAAGAGAAGGGGAACCGACCUCUUGAAAAUCCUGUACAUCUGUCAACCAAACCUACCAGUUGAGCACCAGUAUUCUGAUGCAUGUACCAAGCACGUUUCCUUUUAUUGAUUAACUGGCCAGACUGAUUUUCAUACUUCCCCAACAAUUUCAUAAUUUUUCGGAGUGAUUUCUCAUGUGCUGCUGCAAAAAUGAUAGUAUCAUCAGCAUAAGCUAAGUGAUUCCAAUUUGCACUCCAUUUAGGCAUGCCAUAUCCGACAUAUUGACCAUCAUCAAAUAAAGCAUUCAAAGCUCUGGUUAAGACUUCUGCACUUAAAAUAUAUAAUGCUAGGGAUAGGGGGUCACCUUGUUUGACCCCUCGAGUGGAGUGAAAGAAACCUUGAGCCUGUCCAUUUACCAAGACUGAAUACCAAUUAUUUGCACUAAUUCUCCAGAUGAUAUUAACAAACACCUCUGAGAAACCCAUCUUUCUUAAAACUUUCAUCAAAUAGAACCAUGAUACUCUGUCAUAUGCCUUAGUCAUGUCAAGCUUGAUGAUAAGAUUGGCUGGUCUUCCCCUUUUGGUGAUGUCAGAAGUAAUUUCCUGAGUAAGUAAUACAUUUUCAAUAAUGUUUCUUCCCUUCACAAAACCUGAUUGAUUAGCAGAGAUUAAUCUAGGUAACACCAGUUCUAGCCUAUCAUGAAUAACCCUAGAGAUAACUUUAUUGACAAAGUUACUCAAACUUAUAGGUCUGAGAUCUGAAAAAGAGUGAAUAUCAUUUUUCUUAGGUAACAACACAAGAUUGGUAUGAGUGAUGGAUUUGGGAAGAGUGUUGCCUAAAAAGAAACUUAAAACCAUCUUCCAUAGAUCAUUGCCUACGAUAUCCCAACACUUCUGAUAAAAAAGGCCAGUAAAACCAUCAGGACCACUUGCACUGUCUCCAUUUAGGUUAAAAACAACCUUUUUAACCUCUUCCAUAGUGGGCAUAAUGUUGAGUGAGGCAUUAUCAUCUUCAGUGAUUACCUGUGGAAUAUGCCUAAGGAGUGAAAAAUCAGUGGCAUCCCUUUCUUGAGUAAACUGUUUUUGAUAGAAUCUUAUAGCUUCAUCUUUUAUCAUCUCUUUAUCCUCCAAAAGAUCCCCUUGAUCAGUAUGAAUUCUGGCCAAAUGUAAUCUCUUUCUUCUUCCUUUCACAAGACUAUGAAAGAAUCUAGUAUUUCUUUCCCCCUUUUCAAACCAAGUAAAACCUGCUUUUUGUUUCCAAUAUUCUUCCUCAAAGUGCAGAUAUUUUUUGAAUUCUGCUUGUGCUUUCUGCAUAACUUCUCUAUUCACACUACUAGGGUCUUCUUCAAAUAAAAUUUCCUUGACUUUUACAAUAUGCUCUCUAAUUAUCAAUUGCUUGAAAAUAUCACCAUAGACAUCUUUGCUCCAUGAAGUGAGUGCAGAUUUUAGCUUCUUUAAUUUCUCUUUGAAGCAAAAAAAAAUGGGUUAUCAGCAUCAUCAGGAGUAGCAACAGGCCAGUUCUGACUCACCACUUGCAUGAAAGUAUCAUGUUCUACCCAAAAGUUCAAAAAUUUAAAUGGUUUACUUAUAUUUACCACAGAUUCUUCACAAUUUAGCAACAUUGGAGCAUGGUCAGACCCAGUCCUAGAUAGAUGUUCAACCUCUGUAUGGUUGAACCAAUUUUGAAACUCAUGGUUAAUUAACACUCUGUCAAGCCUUUCAAAAAUACAGUCCGAUGCAGCUCUACCAUUCCACCAUGUGAAAGGACUACCUCUGAAAGACACUUCUAUGAAGUCACAAUCUCCAAUACAGUUUGCAAAAUCAUCUACAUCUGCAAGUUGUACAUCAAGUCCUCCUAACUUCUCUUCAGCAUUCAAAACCACAUUGAAGUCCCCACCUAUAAUCCAUGGAAGUACCAUAGAAUUGUACAACUGAUAAAUGUCUUCCCACAAAGCCACUCUUUGUCCACUGUCACAUUUUGCAUAGAUCAGUGUUGCAAAAAAAGCUUUAUUCGAAGUAGUAUCCUUAACCUUCAAAGUGAUAUGUUGUGCAGCAUCCACUACAAUAUCUACCUGAAAACCAUCUUUGACAAAAACCCAAUUUUUUCCAUUACAAUUGGAUCUUGCAAAAGGCAUUCCCAAUUGUCUCCUAUAUUUGUUGAUGACUCUAGCAUUUUGAAAAGGCUCCAUUAAAGCAAUAAAAAUAAAUUUAUGCGCUUUAUUAAGCAUUUGUACCCUAUGAAAAGCCUUCUGAGUUUUUACAGACCUAAUAUUCCAAAAAAAGAACUUCAUCAUUAAUCCUUGAUCUUCUGCAAACCUCUUCUUGACGUUGUCCUAAUUGGUAGGUUCCCAACAGAAGUGCCAUUAUUCUUCCCUUUUCUGCCAGAUUUGUUACUUUUAAUAGGGGUCUCUGCUUCAUUUUUGUCAUCCUCAUCAUAUGAACUUUCCACUGUAUUGGUAGAGCUGCUUUGUUGUGUUUUAGCCUGAGGUGGAGCAAAACCUAAAGAAUGUGAAUCAACUUCGUCUGUGCUACUAGAAUUGCUCUGUUUCUGUACUUGUUGUGUUUCAGCCUGAGGUGGUGCAAAACCUAUAGAAUGUGAAUCAACUUCCUCUGUGUUGCUAGCACAGUUCUGCCAUUGUGAUUGUUGGUUUUUGAUGUACCUAUAGAGUGUGAAACAAUGUCAUGUAGAACUUUCAUUGGUGACACUAUAACUUCAUUCUCCUGUGCUACAAUAGUUGGAUAUUCAACCAGUGCCAUAUUAUUUGUGCUUGGAUCCUUAUCUUGCCAUUGUUGCCCUGAUGAUUCUAUAAAUGUUGCCUUGCAGAUUGCAUUUUCAAUAACCAUAUUCAUGCUUUCCUCCUGGUGCUGCUGAUUCUCCAUAUUCUGCUCUAAGGUAAAAUUAGAAGGUCUUUGCUCCUUAUUCCCCAUUAUUUAUUCACUAUCUGAUUCAUGUGACUUCACCAUAUCUAUUGCUGUUUCUUGUUGUUGUUUACAAGGAGUUGUAUCACAAUCAUUCUCCUUGAUUAAACUUUGGUUUGUGAUAUUUUCAUGCUCCUUGUUAGAGUCCAUCUUUUCUUCCACAGGAUUGGUGCUAUCAGAUGGAGUUGCAUCAGGCACCUCUAUGAUAGAAUCUUUGCUAUUAGAAAAUUCUCCUUGCUCUGUGGUUGUAUAAUUAUCCAGCGCCCUGUAUUUAUUAAAAGUUACCAAUUGUUGUUGCUUGUGCUGUUGUAGUUGUUGCUGUUCUAAAUUCUGCAUACCUCUUCUAUCUCUAACCACCUUCCAGGCCCCUGGAUCUCCAACUAUCUUUCCACUUGAUAGGAUUUUUGCUCUGCCCUUUUGAAGAUUAUGCACCAGUGGUGGGUGAUAUGAUUCUUCAUUCUCUUGUAUAUUGUCAACUGGGGCCUCUUCUUCCACCUCGUUAUGCAGCAACCUGCAAUUGGCAAAUCAUGACCCUGCAUCCUACACUCCAAGCAAUACUUAGGAAUGUAAUCGUAUUUCACUGUGAUCAUCUCAGUCUUCACACUUCCAGUAACUUCAUCAAUUACCUUCAUGAUCACUGAUUUUGGUAGACUAGCUGCCAAAUCCACUAGAACUCUAACCUUAGCACAACUAGGUCGAGUUUUAUUGAUAGUGGCUUGAUCUAAUUGCAACGGUUUCCCCACUGCAGUUGCAAUUGCAAACAAACUCUCUUGACCGAAGAAAGUUGGGAGAAGAUUAGGGAAUGAGAUCCAAGCCAACUGCUAACUGCAAAUCCUCUUUAAUGUUCAUCUGUUCCACUUCUGCCAUUGUCCACUGAAUAUGUGUGUAUCCCAUCCACAUAUGUUACUGACUUGCUGGGGACUUCCAUUGACACAUAUUCUUGGUUUUGUAACAGGUUUGAAAAGGAGACGUCCUUGGUGAAAGAAUAAGUAUUCAAGUUAUCAUUUGUUUUGUUGCCUCCUAGAACUGGAAACUCCAAACUACUUGUUAACAAAGGAUGCCACCUUCAAAGGCUGACCUCCACCGACGCCGGACAUAAGUUUAGGCAAUCAUAGGGUAGGGUUUGAGUACUUUGCUCUUUCAAAGUCUAGUCAAUAGACACUUUUGUUGAUAGAACCUUCACAGGUUAAAUUACUCAAUUAAUUUAACAAGUAUUUUACGUUUGUUAAUCAUCAAAUUAUCAUAUGAGUCAAUAAAAAUUACACUUGUAAUAUUUUAUUGAUAAAUUACUCAAUUAAUUUACACUUAUAUUACGUUUGUUACACUUGUGAAUUACACUUGUCCUUAAUGAGUGUAAUUUACAUGGAUUGCCAUGUCAUGAAUUGUCAAAAAGAGGAAAGAAAUUACUAUAAAGAGAAUUAUAAGUUGCCACAGUACAGUGGUCAUCAUGGUACUUUUCCAAAUUAGACCUCAAACAAGCAUGACACUACCCAAGGUACUCAAGUUCCAAAUAAUAUCUGAAGGAUAAAACUGGCAAUUCCUCAUCGGCUUAUAUGUAUGAUGGGGAAUUCCGAACCCAUAGAAUUCAAAUUCUGCAUCCGUGAUUUGAAAUUGUUUGUGGUUUCACUAUAUGUCAAGUGUAACACAUCCGAAAUUCUAAACUGUUUGAUUUUUAAAUAAAUAAAUUUGUAGAGAUAUCAGAAGAAGAUAAGUAAGAUGAAGAAAUUCAUAUUGAAGUCGUUUGGUUUUGUUGGAUAAGUAUAAAAUAAUUUGUGGCCUAAUUCAUCCAUGUUACGGAAUAAGCGUAGAUUUAAUAAUUGUAACCAAGUUUCCAAUGGAUGAAAGAAGUAGCAAAUUCAAUCAUGUUUUGGUUCUAAUCAUGAUAUGUAAGGGUAUUCAUAGCUAAGUUUCCAACCACUCAUUUUCCAUUGCCUCGUGCUUAUAAGAUGAUUUGUCUUCAGAAAAAGGUUUUCUCUUCUUCUUCGAAUUUCAUUCCCGAGAGAGAAUAAAAACUAAAAGGAGCUCCUAAUCUGAAUAAUGAUAAACUUAUCGAGGCUGUUUUUGCAACUAAAGGAUGAAAUUGAGGGGCAGAGUACUCUGUUUCCAUGUUGUCAUUAGAAAGUUACAUCUUUCUGAAAGUGGGAUAACCCAUCUUUUCCAUGGAAGACUUUUGGAAGUUUAAUCAAUUAGUUCCGUCUUUUUUCAUUGUGUUAAGACAACAUAUAUAGACCCCAUACUGGUUUCAGUAUCCACAAUUAUGGAUUCCAAUUAUUGUUUCCUUUUUCCUUUCAUCAAAUAUGAUAUUCUACUACUCUUAUUUGUUAGUCGACCAUUAUCUUUUCUUUUGCCCACUAUCGGAAUCAUAGAGCACAUCAUAUGGGAAUUCAAUCGAAAUUUUGUUCCUCUCAUGCAUCAACUUAAUACUGACCCAUAUGAAACCUACAAAUACAUUAAUCAACUGAAGUUGAUCGAAGCUCAAAUUGCAAAAUUGUGUUUUCUAGCUUAAAAUAGAAAAGAUAAAGUUGAGUUAGCAAUGAGUUCUCUUGAAAGUUCGGAUCCAAGCAAGCAUAAGACCAACUUGUAAAAACGAAAAUCAGCUUAUUUUUUUAUGAAUAUGAAUAUGAGCUUAUUUAUUAGUAUAAGCAACCAUGUCUACCUACAGAGUAAAUGAGAUGCACGAUUCCAUGGAAUUUCUGAACAUAUAUAAUAUUAAGCGGUAUAUUUUCCAAAACUGAAAGAGUUCAUAUCCGAAUACAGAUUUUCAUUAUGAAUAGAAACUGCUACAUUCCAGUUACCUGCACAGCUUCUGAGGCAGCGAGACAAACCAAUUACCUGCACAACUUCUGAGGCAGCGGAGACAAAAGAUGCACAACUUCCAAGCAGCGGAAACAAACAAAUCAUCUGCACAACUUCUGAGGCAGCGCAGACAAAAGAUGCACAACUUCUGAGAUGCACGAUUCCAUGGAAUUUCUGAACAUAUAUAAUAUUAAGCGGUAUAUUUUCCAAAACUGAAAGAGUUCAUAUCCGAAUACAGAUUUUCAUUAUGAAUAGAAACUGCUACAUUCCAGUUACCUGCACAGCUUCUGAGGCAGCGAGACAAACCAAUUACCUGCACAACUUCUGAGGCAGCGGAGAUAUAAGAGGAUGUGAAAUCAGAGAUGAGAUUGAGGAAAAAAAAAAAAGAAGGCCGUAAAGGGAGAGUGACAUCAACAGCAUAGCACGGGAACCAUUCCUUUCCCAAAACGGAAAAUUCAGCUCCGACUCGGAGAAUCGGCUAAGGGAUUUUCUGUGCACUACUCUCCUCGGACUUGAUUUCUGCUGUUGUUGCGGUUGGUUGAUCAAGCCGCUGUUGCCUGGUGGAGCUCCGAUAGUAUUCCGAUUACGAGUUCGAAUUCCGACCUAACCGGGAUAUUCCUUUCCCAAUUUGAUGAUCCGACAGGCCUGACCCGUUGGUCCGAGAAGCUAGUAGGUUCCCAGGGUGACGUGGCAUUUUGAUGAGUUGGCGGGUUCUCAACAACCUGGUGCUUUUCCACGUCGGAAGUGACCUGGCCCCUACCUCGUUUGUAUAAAAUUUCUUGAUGUGUGUUACCGAAAAUUAAGGUACAACCCUUCGUUGCACUUCAUUUUGUUUGAUUUUGUUUCGUGAUAUAAAAUGAUAUAAGCAUCCUCUAUAACUUGCAAAUUGAUAUUUAUGUCUUUUAACUUUGAAUAUGCAUAAAUAUAUUUAAAUUAGUAUAAAGUUAAACAAGUAAAUACACAAGUCAUAAAUAAUAUAAAUUAAUUGUUGUAAAACGAGUGUAUCUCACGUGAAUUGUCAUAUAGGAUGAGUGUAUUUAAUAUGAAUUACCAUUUAAGAUGAGUGUAUUUCAUGUGAAUUGUCAUUAAGGACAAAUGUAUCUCAUGUGAAUUGUCAUGUAGGAUGAGUGUAUCUCACGUGAAUUGUGAUGUAGGAUUACUGUAUCUCACAUGAAUUGUCAUGUCAGGACAAGAGUACCUCACAUGAAUUGUUGUGUAGAAAGAGUAUAUCUCACGUGAAUUAUCAUGUUAGGACAAUAGUAUCUCACAUGAAUUGUCAUGUAGGACGAGUAUAUUUCACGUGAAUUAUCAUGUUAGGACAAGAGUAUUUCAUGUGAAUUGUCAUGUUAGAACAAAAAUAUCUCACGUGAAUUGUCUUGUUAGGACAAGAAUAUCUCACAUAAAUUGUUAUAAGGACAAAAGUAUAUCACAUAAUUGUCACGUAGGACAAGUGUAAGUCACGUGAAUAUUUUUAAAAAAGUUAUACCUCAGAUAUUACCCAAAGUACUCAAAUUCCAAAUAGCAUUUAAAGGAUAAAACUGUCAAUUCCUCUCAUCACUUCAACAUUAAAGUUGAAAGAGGAAACUCCCCAUUUGGCAAUUUGCUCUGUUUGCACUUUUGCAUAGGUACUAACGUUCCCAUUGCAUACAAGUAAGCAAAUUGAAAAAACGUGAGUUUGUAACAAUCUUUUGUUUAAAUGUUACUUUUGCUACAGUUCUUGAUAGAAGUGUUAUUUUGUUACUCUGCAUUUCUUUGUUGAAGUGUUAAUUUUUGCUACAGUUCUUGUUUUUGAAACAGAGUUCUUCUGGCAAUGGCUAGUUCUGGCUCCUCCUGUGCUGACUGGAAAAAGAUGGAAGACGAGUUCACAGCUUAUGGGAUGAGCCUCAUGAAUCCUCCCUCUUCCAUUGAUGAGCUCUUCAAACUUCUUCAGGUAAAAAUCAAUUUUUUUAUUUGAAUGAAAUGAAAUCCCAAAAAAAAUAAGAUGGAAGUAGGAAUUGUUGUUCUACUAUAAAGAUUUUGGACUGGAAAAUGGAAGUGAUAAUCUUUUUUUUUUCUUGUUAAAUUCAUGCAAUUUAUGGCUUACUGUUUUCCCCUUUUCUUUGUCAGAAAGUUGAGUCUUUACUGAAAAUGGUAAGUCAGGACCCAUUUGAUUCGACCACAAGUGCAAUUCAACCUUUAAUGAAAGCACUGGUUAGGAAUGAGCUAUUGGGGCAUACGAGUGAAGAUGUCAAAGUUUCAAUGAUUUCUUGUAUCACUGAAAUUUCUCGAAUAUAUGCCCCAAAUUACCCUUACAAUGAUCAUAGACAAAUGGAGGUAGAACUAUACCAUUCUAAUUUAUCUUUCUGUUUUUACUUCAAUAUUUUUUCACCCUGGCGAAUUUCUUUGUCAGGAAAUUCUCCGGCAAACUGUAAUGGCGUUAAAAAAGUUAGCUGAUGUUACUAGCCGCAGCUACCGGAAGGUGGUCCGAGUUCUGGAAAUAUUCGCAAAAGUAAGGUUAAGUGCAGUGGUAUUGGACCUUGAAAACGAAAAGCUAAUCAUCGAGAUAUUCAAAGUCUUUCUCGAGGUCAUCAGGUAUUCUGUCAAAAUUCUCUUUUCCAUGGAUAUUAUCAUUAUUCUCUGAUUCUUCAAUGUUAUGUAGAGUUCCGGUUUGUUUCUUUCCAACAACAAAGUCAAUUACCUUCGGAUUAAAUUUGGGUGAAAUAUAAAUUUCAUAAGGAUGUUGCAGUGUGUUUUGUAUUUUUAACUGCUUAUCCAUUAAAGUAAUUUUAUCAACACCCUUUGGACAAAGCUCUGCCACUGGGCACUGACUAGCUCCCAAAGGUGGUAAUCUGAAAUACGCUUAUGCAUUGAAACACUGCUCAAACGUACGUGCUAUUCAGUUGCUUGCAUAUACUCCAUUUGAGUCACACCUAAGCAUGUAGGAGACUGUUGACAUUGUAAACCAUGCCAUUUUGUGCCAGUGUAUGAGCAUAAGGUUAUUCUAGAGAUAAUAUUUCUCUGAGAUGCUGGCUAUAGUAAUAUUUAUGUUAUAUUUUCUAUGAAGGCCCUACCAUCCUCAUAAUAUAUUCACUUGGAUGAAAGAAAUCAUGACUAGGCUCAUAAAAGGCAGUGAUGAAAUCUCAGUAGAGCUUCUGCGGCUUCUUCUUGAUUGUCUCAAAAUUGAUAAUCAGGUAAUAAUCAAUCUCCUAUGAACCUCUUUGUUAAGAAUAUUUCUUUGGCACUUUUCUAAUCCAGUAGUUUAUUUUAUCCAGAUGGAUUCACCCGUUGCAUCACACUUGGUGGAGGAAGUCCUAAAAGACUGUGCUGCCAUUGUUAAACCUUACUUUGCAGAAGCCCUAAAGUCAAUGAGCUUAAAUUCUGGUGAUUAUGCUGAAACGGUUGCCUUAUUAUGCAAUGAAAUGCCAAAAGGAAAAGAAAUGGUAUGUUGUAUUCAUUACUAUCUUGUCUACACCUAAAACAAUGGCUACUUGCUUUUUUAAAGAAAUGUUUAUUGAUAUGAUGUUUUGUUUAAUGUUGAUACUUCACUUUCAUUGUCUAUACAUCCAAGCAUUCAUUUACACAUAUAAGUGGGCAUAAACAUCAUGAUUAAAAAUGUCGUCUUUUCCUUCUUUCUUGUGAGCGAUGGUAGACUAGAUACUCAGUAACUUCAUAUUGUUGAUAAAAUUAGCACAUCUGUCUCAUUACUGCAGUUUUGCUCCGUAUAAAUGCCAACCACAUCCCUCUUUGGGCUCCUGGUCCAAGCUUCAGUUGGGCGUGAAUGGAGUGGUGUGCUUAUAUGAACUUGGCUAUCCUGCCUUUCAUAAGCUAGCUUUUGGGGUUUAGUUAGACCCAAAUGCCAUAUCUUUACAGAAACAUACAGUUUUUAAAGAUUUUUUCCCUUUGCAGAAACAUACAGUUUUUAAAGAACUUUUCCUUAUUGUAAACAUACAUCACUCAAAGGAGUUAGAGCCAACAUUAGAAUAACUCCACUCAAUUUACAUUAGAAUAUACUCUAGUGUUGCAUUUAGUAACAAGAUUUUGGUAUUGGCUCUAAUGCAAUAUUCAGCCCAAAGAGCAGGGGAUGCCAAGGAGACUAAGUGCUUCUAUUGUCUUUAAUUAUUACUAGGAUGCUACAACAGUUUCAGUUGUGAAUAGAUAAUAGUAUUAACAGAUUUUUUUCAUUUCCUCGUCUCUUAUUUUUUUUUAUCAGAUGGCAACUGAAAAUGCACCUGAUACUGUACAUCGCAUAAAAGUUGGUCCAUCUGAGGCUAAAUGUUGUGAGCCAGCGCGGCAGGAUGACACUCACAGGGAGAAGCUAAAGGAUACUUGUUUAACUAACAUCAUGAAACCUGUCGAUCCAGAAGAUGUGCACCCAGCAAAAAAUGUGCCAAAAGAAAACCAGGAAGGGACUGGAAGUCAUAAUCUUACAGGUCAUCCUGUAAAAGUUGGUCCAUCUGAGGCUAAAUUGUGUGAACCAGUGCUGCAGGAUGAUACUCACAGGGAGAAGCUAAAGGAUACUUGUACAACAAACAUCAUGAAACCUGACAAUCCAGAAGAUGUGCAACCAGCAACAAAUGUGCCAAAAGAAAACCAGGAAGGGACUGGAAGUCAUGAACUUACAGGUAGUCAUGGUCAUUUGUGUCAGCCCAAGAGAAAAGAGAUCCCGAUAAAUGACGAUGAUGAGCUGGUUGUGUUAAUUCCAAUAGGAGAUGUGCCGCAAUCCCAAGUUCAGAAAAAAGAUUCUCUUCAUUUAGGUCUCACUUUGGGAGAGAGAACCAAGCGCACACUAUGUGCCAAAAGAAAACAAGGAAGCGACUCAAGGAAGAAUGAGUCUGCUUCAGAUUGUGACGCAGAGAGAACAUCUGAAUCUAGCAUAAAAAAUGAAGAAGGAAACCUUGAAGAACACAAGGAGCCAACACUGCAACAAAUUUUUGGAAUGAAACUGAGGAAGAAGAAGAAGAAAACAACUAAUAUUGAAGAAUCUGGAGAUAAGGUUGACAACUGUACAACCCAGUAAUAGUUAUUUCAAGAUCUUUGCUAAUUUAUUUAUGCAAUGAACAAAUUAUUACUUUCCUUUUGCAAUUCUCUUUUUUACUUGUGAGCUGCACAGGCUACUAAAUUAUCAGUCAAAGAUGAAAAUCACAUAAACAAAUAUGCUAAUUAUAAAUCCGGGAGGAAGUUGGCUACAAGGAAACAUGAGGUACUGAUCUAUAAACUAUAUGUAGAUUUAUCUCCUAUCUGUGUAACCUCCAUAUAUGCAAUUAUCAGAGCUUUGUAUGAAUGGAUGUAAGCUGUUGAAAUUCUUCAUAAACUGAUUUGGUAUCUUACAUUUUGCAACUUUACUGAUUUUUAAGAACUUCCCUUCACCGGAAACUAUUUUCUGGCUCUUUAAUGUGACAACUUUUGUAAAAAAAUAUUUUCCCUCUUUUGAAGUUGAGCAGAUACCAAUCUUUCCAUAAUUCAUUACAUAUCAUAGAAAUGACGGUAGCUCCGCUUUGUUUUAAAAGUGGUUCUCCAGACUAGAGAAGAAUAGCUUAGUGAUUAGCCUCCUCCACCUUCAACCAGUAGGUUGAGGGGCUGAGUCACGAGAAGGGGAUUAAAAGGAUUUUUAAUAAAAAAGUGGUUCUGAAUGCUUUCAAAUUCUGAAGCACCAUGGCUCUAAUUUUUCCAUUCAGGAUUCUGAAAGCGCUCGUACCAGCAAAGAUUAUGGUGCAGAACUGAUCGGCGCUAAAAUAAAAGUUUGGUGGCCAUUGGAGCAAGCGUAAGUUCUUUAAAAUAUUGAUGUGAGGACUGCAACACCAUUGUAAAUUUAUUGUACUUGUCACACCCGUCGAUCCUGCACGCGCACUCCUUUUUGAAACUUGAUGUAAAUUUCAGUUAUUGAGUUUGUUCUUUAAAACAUUGCCUUGCCUGCUAGGCUUUAUAUGCAAGAAUCUCCUUCGAUGGCAUUAUACUCCUAUAAGUUUUUGAAUUGAUGGUAUAGAUCUAGUACUAGCAUGGGUUUUAUCCUUAACUUUGUCUUCUACCUUGGCUCAUUCGGUAUUUCUUGAGAUUCUGUAAGCAGAGCUCAAACUUGGAGACCAUGCCUCCACGUGAUGGCAGUUGUAGGCAGAGUCGCACUAUCUCAAGCGACCUACUCUCAUUAUGGUUUCACCCCUAUGUAAUCUGGAAGUCAUGUAGGACAUGACAAAACCAUCUCAAGCGACCUUCUCUCAUUUAAUCAUUAAUGUAUGCUACUUGCACCUUCUAGCAAAUGUGGUCAUUUUUAGUCUUAUAUAAUUAUGCAUCAUCGGACAUCCAUCUUAGUAUCGCAUCUCUGCGACACUUGUCUUGUGGAUAUGUUGCACUUUAGAGGCCCAACAUUCAUUGUCGGUCUUAUAAUUAUUAUGUAAAGCUUACAAUCUAUCACAUAAUAUUUCUCCAUUUAAAUCAUCCAGUUUUAAUUCUAUUAAGGAACAUCUUCAUCUAUCACUUCAUCCUUCUGGAACAACGAGAGUCUAGAUAUCUAAAUUGUUUGCAUUUAGGCACAUCAAUCCAGUCUAGUUUCACCUCAAUUUAGUUCUUCUCAUGUUGACUAAACUUUGGAGUUAAGAGCAUAUAUUUAAUCUUACUUUUACUCAUCGUAUCCGAAAACCCUUGCUCUCUAAAGUGCUUCUAAACAGUUCAAGUUUUCAGUUGAUACCCUUACUGGUUUCGUCGAUUAACACAAUUUCAUCAGCAAAUGGUGUAGGACCUCACAUAGUAUUAUGUUGGUUAGUUCAUUAAUAACUAGAGUAAACAAGUAGUACCUCAAUGACGAUCCUCGGUGUAAACCCACGGUUAUAGGAAAAUCAACUCCUUUGUAUAUCUUACUAGUUCUCAAGCCAGUGACAACUCCUUCAUACAUGUCCUUUAUGAAUUUUACAUAUUUAUUAUGAAUUUCUUUCUCCUCCAUCACCCACCAAAGGACCUUCCAUGGUACUUCUUAUGCUUUAUUUGGGUCGUUGAACACGAUAGCCGAUAGGUAUGUCUCUUCUCAUAAUAAACUUCCAUCAAUCUUGUUAGAAGAGUGAUGACGUCCAAAUCCACUUCUCAAAGAGAAGUGUACAUGGUCGUUGCAAUAAAAUUUACCCAACUAAGAGUCGGGGUCAAAUCCCACAUGGAACAAUAUACUAGGGUAACCAAGUUAGUUAUGGAAUUGUCACCAAUUAAGCUAACCAAUUGAUUUUGAAAUAUUUGAUUUUGUUUAAAAAUAAUACAGAUAAAAUCUAUCUAGAAAGCAGGUAAAAUGAUCAAUGAACGCGCAAGAAAGGAAAACAAGAGAUAUGGAAAUUAUGGAAUUGAUUAUCAUCAAGAACGAUACAUUACAAAUAAUUAACUAAUAAUAAACAUGGAACACAUAGUUAGCCUUGGAAUCUCAAUUGCCCACUAAUGUCGCUUGACUAUUUAGCGGGUUUAUCUUAGCUAGUUCUUGAAAACCACCUAGGAGAUACUAAUUAUAUUUCAAUAUUGGGCUACACUUAAGUUCUUCCUAAAGUGUGGUCUUGAUGUUGCUCUGCAGAACUAGAAAUGUGGUUUGCAAAUGGGCUUCAUGACAUGUUAUUCUUGAUCGCAGACAGGAAUGCGGUCCGCAGAACAGCAAUGGGACCACAAAAGAUCAUCGCAUUUUGGUCUUCAAAGUCCUUUAUAUUCUGUCUCUUUUUGUGGCUGACAGACCCAUUAUGCAGUGCGCAGUCUGGUUUUGAGGCGGUCCACAGAAGGGUUCAAUUUUUUGAUGUGUUUGUUCACUUUUACCCUCUUUUGGUGUCCCACCUCAAAAUAUCUAAAAAAUGUAAAAUAACAUAAGAAUUCUAUACUAAAAAAGCAUUAAGAACAUGAAAAGUCUAUGUAAAUGACAUAGAAUGUGCCGUAAUUUCACGGCACAUCAAUGAGUUGGCAGGAAUGUAGCCUCUGUUGUAGAUCUAUCAGGCAUAAAUCCAAACUGGUUUCUGUUACUCGAUGUUCUAUCACUCUUUCCCUGAGUUUCAUCGUAUACUCAUUAGUUUAAUACCAUUAUUGUUCCACAACUUUGAAUAUCUCUUUGUUC
rnacentral:lncRNA from 1 species